rnacentral:rRNA from 1 species
UACGAAGGGGGCUAGCGUUGUUCGGAAUCACUGGGUGUAAAGCGCACGUAGGCGGAUCUUUAAGUCAGGGGUGAAAUCCCGGGGCUCAACCUCGGAACUGCCUUUGAUACUGGAGAUCUUGAGUCCGGAAGAGGUAAGUGGAACUGCGAGUGUAGAGGUGAAAUUCGUAGAUAUUCGCAAGAACACCAGUGGCGAAGGCGGCUUACUGGUCCGGAACUGACGCUGAGGUGCGAAAGCGUGGGGAGCAAACAGG